rnacentral:rRNA from 1 species
UGCAGUCGAACGCUUCUUUUUCCACCGGAGCUUGCUCCACCGGAAAAAGAGGAGUGGCGAACGGGUGAGUAACACGUGGGUAACCUGCCCAUCAGAAGGGGAUAACACUUGGAAACAGGUGCUAAUACCGUAUAACAAUCAAAACCGCAUGGUUUUGAUUUGAAAGGCGCUUUCGGGUGUCGCUGAUGGAUGGACCCGCGGUGCAUUAGCUAGUUGGUGAGGUAACGGCUCACCAAGGCCACGAUGCAUAGCCGACCUGAGAGGGUGAUCGGCCACAUUGGGACUGAGACACGGCCCAAACUCCUACGGGAGGCAGCAGUAGGGAAUCUUCGGCAAUGGACGAAAGUCUGACCGAGCAACGCCGCGUGAGUGAAGAAGGUUUUCGGAUCGUAAAACUCUGUUGUUAGAGAAGAACAAGGAUGAGAGUAACUGUUCAUCCCUUGACGGUAUCUAACCAGAAAGCCACGGCUAACUACGUGCCAGCAGCCGCGGUAAUACGUAGGUGGCAAGCGUUGUCCGGAUUUAUUGGGCGUAAAGCGAGCGCAGGCGGUUUCUUAAGUCUGAUGUGAAAGCUCCCGGCUCAACCGGGGAGGGUCAUUGGAAACUGGGAGACUUGAGUGCAGAAGAGGAGAGUGGAAUUCCAUGUGUAGCGGUGAAAUGCGUAGAUAUAUGGAGGAACACCAGUGGCGAAGGCGGCUCUCUGGUCUGUAACUGACGCUGAGGCUCGAAAGCGUGGGGAGCAAACAGGAUUAGAUACCCCUGGUAGUCCACGCCGUAAACGAUGAGUGCUAAGUGUUGGGAGGGUUUCCGCCCUUCAGUGCUGCAGCUAACGCAUUAAGCACUCCGCCUGGGGAGUACGACCGCAAGGUUGAAACUCAAAGGAAUUGACGGGGGCCCGCACAAGCGGUGCAGCAUGUGGUUUAAUUCGAAGCAACGCGAAGAACCUUACCAGGUCUUGACAUCCUUUGACCACUCUA